rnacentral:lncRNA from 1 species
UGUUAAUUACCAGUUCUCACAGUGAUGAUGGUAGAUUUCUCUGAGGAUAUAUCACUGAGAAUGAUUUUGAAGAACUUUUUGACAUGGUGAUUACAAGUGCAUUGAAGCCUCUUUUCUUCUUUUAUUUACUAAGUCAGAGGCCUUUCCAGAGACAUGAGAAUAAUGAAGAUCAGGAGGCACUGCUAUCUCUGUAAGCCUGGCUGGUACUCUCAAGGAAAUGCUGUCCACCUCUGUGAAGUUCUGAAGAAAAUGACUGAGUGCAAUGGUCCGAUUUCAGCUCACCACAACCUCCACCUCCUGGGUUCCAGCAAUUCUCCUGCCUCAGCCUCUCAAGCACCUAGGACUAUCGGAGUCUGCAAUGAUGCCGGCUAAUUUUACUAUGGAAAUGAUGUUAGACAAAAAGCAAAUUUGAGUGAUUUUCUUACUCAAGUUCAAAAUGGGUCGUAAGGCAGCGGAGCCAAAUUGCAACAUCAACAAUCCAUUUGGCCCAGGAACUGCUAAUGAACAUACAGUGCAGUAGUGGUUCAAGAAGUUUUUCAAAGAAGAUGGGAGCCUUGGAAAUGAGGAGCAUAGUGGCUGGCCAUCAGAAGUUGACAAUGACCAACUGAAAGCAAUCAUUGAAGUUGAUCCUAUUACAACUACAUGAAAAGUUGUUGAAAUACUCAAUGUCCACCAUUCUACUGUCAUUCAACAUUUGAAGCAAAUUGGAAAGAUAAAAAGUUUUAAUCCCAAAGCAUGUAUUUUUAUGCUACAGAAAUAAACAAACUUACUUCUCCUUGGAAAAAUAUGUUGAUUGUAAUUCUUAUCUUAGCUUUUGCUAAGAUUUGAGUAUUUAUCCUCUCUAAAACUCACUUAAUCUUCAAUGUGGUGGGAAUGAAAGUUGGGGCUUUUAAGAGGCUAUUGGUUCAUGAGGGCUCUCAUGAAUGGGUUAAUCCAUUUGUGGAUUAAUGAGUUAAUGGUUUAAUGGGUUAUCAUCGGAGGAAAACUGGUGGCUUUAUAUGAAAAGAAAGACCUCAGUUAGCACGCAAGCAAACUCUGCUCAUCUGCCAUGGGAUACACUGCACUGCUUCAGGAUGCGGCCCCUUGAAAUUAGCCUUCAUAACAGUAAGAAAUAAAUUACUUUCAUUAUAAAUACUCAGUUUCAGAUGUUUUGUUAUAAGUAACAGAAAAUUAACUAAGACACUUAGAAACUUACUCCUCCAGGGUUUCUGUGCACCCUAUGAGCUGUCUAAUAUUAAGCAACAUACCCCUGAUACAUAUGCAUCCUCAGUAGCCAUGAAUAUAAAAGCUUGAUAUUGAAGGGCAAAGAUUUGCAUGCCAGUGUUCUCAGGGAUUGUGGAGAGUCUAUAACCAUAAUGUUUGAGAUAUCUAUAUCUAAGGCUUUCUUUUAGUUAAAUUAUUCCAAUCAAAUUAUAUUCUGAGGUCUACCAAAACUUGUAGUUAGUAGGUCUAUGCUUCUCUGUUUAUAAAUAAAUCCUUGGCUCUGUUAAUCAAAGAUGUGGGUAGGAGAGUCUUCAUUUUGAUGCAAUGCCAUUCAGUCACGAAUAUGGUUUGGAUCUAUGUCUCCACUCCAAUCUAAUGUCAAGAUGUAAUCCCCAGUGUUGGAGGUGGAGACUGGUGAUUUGGGUAAAAAUGCCGGACAGUAUAUUUGUUUCCCUUAGAACCCCAAGCAUCCCUUCCACUUGCUGACUUUUCACAUUAUUCAGAAUUCUCUUCCUUAGGCUUAUGCUAACAUGAAUACAACACAGAUCCAUAAGAAUGCAACGGAAGGUCUCAACCACUCUGUCAAUAGAAUAACUUAUCACCAUUCUCCCUAAAGUAUUCCAUGGGCUGUUUGAAUACUAUGUGAUGGGAACCCAUACACAGAAAUCUGUCUUAUAACAGAACAGGACAUGAACAGCCCACAGUGAUAAAAUGUAACCAAAUACACUAUUUCUGUAGAACAGAGAGAGAAAAACAACUAGUAGAUAAACCUAGAAUUUCACUUAUGUCUGUUUAAUGUACAGUUAUAUGCUGUUAAAUAAACAACUCUAGUUUUCUUAAUACCACUUAUGACAUGAAUUAUAAGUAAGACACAUGUAUUUUGCAAUAUAGACCUAAUUCUCUGUUACAUGAAAUUAAGGAAAUUUGUUUCUUGGACUCACUGUCUGUAAAACUGCUGCAGCUGACUCUUUUCACAAUCAUUUUGGAUAGUGGGUUUGAAAUAGUUGUAUGUUAUAAAGAUAGAAACAAACAUUUUUGAAUGUUUGCAUAAAUUGUAAUUGUCUGCUCAAUUCAACUUCUACAAUUUACUUAAUGUUUAAUAAUAAAAUAAAUAAAGGCUAUUUUCCUUGGGCAGUGGAAAAUCUUGGGGUUUGCAUGAGCAUUUUAUGGCAGGAAAAUUGGAUAUGAAAAUAAAGAAAACAUAAUUAAUCUUAAUUAAAAUGCAAUAAUUGCCUCAUUUGUUCAAAUAAGUGGAUAGAACUGAAGAAAUUCAGAAAUGGGAGAGAUGAAGGAAAUUACACACACACACACACACACACACACACACACACAUACACAGAAGAGGAAUUGUGUGGAGGAAACAUGACAAUUCAUGUGUAUUAUUGUCUCUAGCAAGAAUGUAGUUAAUCAGACAACAAGAAACUGAUUCAAAAUAAAGGAAACUCGUUAGGUUGUAAAGUUUGGGUUUUUUAUUGGCUAUAUCUAUUCCUUUUUUGUUGCAUUCAAAUGAAAGACUGCCCCUUCUCAUUCAUCAGAAGAGGGUCUCUGAAAGUGAAAAACCACAUUUAUCAAUUAUUUUUAAAAUCAUAAAUUUCAUGAUUGUUUAAUAGCAAUGGCUCAUGGGAAGUUAUGCCAUAACAUAAUAAACAAAUUACACGAAUUACAAUUUUUACCUUUCAUUAUAGAGACGUAAUUUUCCUAUUAAAAAUAAGGAUCCAUCUUAAGGGUUUUGAAGAUUGAAUUGGGUCUGAACUGAACUCGCAUAAACAAUUAAACUUACUAUACUACAUGAAUUUUAUUAUCUUUUAGUUGAACACAUUUUUUGACCUGGG